rnacentral:pre_miRNA from 1 species
CUCUGCUUGAUACUCUUUCCCUGUUGCACUACUGUGGGAGAUGCAGCAAGCAGUGCAAUAAUGAAAGGGCAUCAGUCAGCUG